GGGGCCAUUAGCUCCACAAUUUUCUACUCCCAUGAUACCCAAAGUUGAGAGUGUAUACCAUGAAAACAGACAGCCGAGCGCAGGUAUCCAAUACUGGGAAGAAUAUAAGCCCUGGACACCCAGUGAACAACUGGCAAUAAUACAGCAGCUGGCAGAUGUUGAAAAGGCCCCCUUAGCUCUAGUCCAGUCUCUAUCCACAAUUCAAGCUACUUACCA